CAACCAUAAUAGUGACGCGUUGUUGUCUGCCUACAUUUUGCAAAUGGUUUAGUUUAAUAGCUUUUUAGUUGCUGUUUUUGUCUCAUUAAUUCGUUUAUUUAGAAAUGACAAGUCAAUGACGAACUUAAAUCGUUUUUUAUUACUUGUUCGCUAGCAAUGGCUAUCGAAACCUCUAAGUUUAGCUAGUUAACGUUAGCUAGCGUUAACAGUUCAACGUAAACAAUGCGACGUUGCUUAAAAAAGGAAACUGCUCUAACGUUAGUUUAAAUGUUCUGAUCGCAUUUGUUGAGACCUCAAAAUGUAUUCACAAUAAUGGCCGUUUUAAACUCUAAAGUAUUAUGUAAAUGAUUGAUUUUUAGUGUAACUAUUAUUGCUUUGAGCCAGUCAACAAGGCUGAAUGUUCCCAAGUUACUUUUGCCCAGAUCAAAUCAUAAUCAUGUCAACUUCACGUUGACGCAGAGAAGGGAUGCUAUAAAUGGGUGUCCUCCCGACCCCAGGCAGUCGUUGUUUGGCCCAUCUCUCCUUCCAUCCCUCCCUCCAUCCUCCCUCCAUCAGCCUGUAGCCAGCAGGUCCUAGUGUCCGCCCGGCCUCUGUCCGCUCCACUGGACACUAACCAAGGGGCCGGCAUCAUACGAGGACAGGACUCUGUGACUGGCCAUACCCUGCGCUGUGAUGUCAUUGUUGACCAGAUCAAGCAGAUUCAGGUUGUCACGACGACGCGUCAACUGUUCACCGAAGACCCACCCCUCGUGCUCUCCGUCAUGGCACUGGACUCAGGAGUUUUCGGCUGCCAGGUCUAGUUCAAGCUGACUGUUGUGCUAAAGAACCUGGAUCCUGGAUCUGUGUGUCUACUGCUCCCUUCUGGCACCAGGAGUCUCUCUCUCUCUCUCUCUUUCUCUCUCUCUCUCUCUCUCUCUCUUUCUCUCUAGUCUGGCAGGUCUACAGUUUGAGUGGAGGCUAGUAAAGGACUCAGAAAGCAGAGAUUGUUAGGUUUGUGCAUUUCUCAGAGGCGGGCUACUCCCCACCCCAUCGCAUCCUGUCCCUGGAGGAAGCAGGUCAGAAAGGGGACAGUGUGUUGCUGGAGGGGGUCCGUAGCGGGGUGGUACAGGUCAGGGCCUCCCUCUCGCACCCAGACUACAAGAGGUGGUGCUGGGUGAGGGAGAGUAUGAGCUGUCUGUAGAGAGAGACCCAAAUUACGAUGAUGAUGUCAUCACUGUGGACCAGGACAUGAGGACCAUCACCGCCCGAGGGCUAGGCCGCACCACGCUGUCCGUCACACACCCCAGUGUCCUUCCACCAUGGGACCACCUUACCAAACCACUUUAAAGUUAUUCCUGUAGUUUAGCAUUAAUGUAGUCCUGUAAGGUGUGGUUUCUGGGGUUGUGGGUAGUGUAGUCCUACAGGUGUGGUUUUCCUCAGCAUUUCCUGUACCCAGGCCUACCAGAAAACUCUGCUUCCCACCUGCCUCGCUGUUCUGUGUUUGUGGUGGAGCCAAGUUACCUGAGUGAGUGAGCCCAGCUAUCAACAUGUCUAUUGUCGUACUAUGGCAAGCUGUGUGUGUGUGUGUGUGUGUGUGUGUGUGUGUGUGUGUGUGUGUGUGUGUGGAGGAGGACAGGUGGGUGUUGGAGAGUGGUCGUCAGUACCAGGUGACUGUACGAGUUCACGACCAGGAGGGUCACACAGCACACCUGGCACAGAAUGUGGUGAUGACCGUGGACUUCUCUGAUUGGCUGUUCUAUGUCCUGGAGACUUCCUCUAACAGUUCCUACCAUGUACUGGAAACACGAGGGUCUGGGCACACUACUAUACGAGCUGCACUGUUCACUGUGCUCACUGAGGAUGGCCGAGCGUUGCCCCUGAUACCACCAAUCAGAGCAGAGCAAGAAGUAGAGGGUGGCAGUGGUGCUGUGAGCUGGUCGGUGAGUGACAGUGAUGUUGCCGUGGUGACAAUAAAAGGGGAAGUCAUGGCGGGAAAGAGACGGGGUCAAGUGGAUAUUCAGGCAUCAGACGCACGCAACCCUCUACACACCGCUACUGGACAGGUGUACGUGUUGAGGCCAGCUGGUGUGGAUGUCCUGGCCCAGAGAGGUGACUGUAGGGUGGGAGAGACCAUCACCCUUCCCCUGGCUGUCUGGGGGGUCCAGGAGGAGGAGAACCAGGCCCAGGACCCUCCCCAGGGAAGCUCUGGCCCCCAGACCCUGCUGGAGGUGACAGACUGCUCUCUCAUCAACCUCCACGUCACCACAGGGGGUAUUCACCCCUCUACCUAGUACACACACAGUGUGGCUCUGCUCUCUAUGUGCGUAGCUAAGGCCCUGGUUUCAGAGGUGGUCUUGCCUCGUCGUCUUCGAGGGGGGGCCACAGCCCUGGCCCUUGGUCCCUGCACGUUUCCAUGGCGAUGCCCAGGCUGAGGGGGAGGGGCUGGGCGUGGAGGCUCUCAGCCUAUCAGAGCCCAGGAGAGCCCAGCAGCACGCCUACAGGGUCACCUGCCACGCCCUGGGGGAACAGUGGCUGGUGUUCAGCAGUGGGAAAUCCCCAGGUCCUCUGAACCAGGAUCCCUCAGUAGAGCAGAGCAGAGUGAGCGUAGACUGCAGCGCCCCGGGUUCUCUCUCUCUCUUCCCCUCCUCUCCUCCCUCCAUCCUCCCUGUCCCACCCGUGCCCUGAGCCCCACUAUCCUGCCAGCCUGGUGAGUGUUUCUCUAUUGCUCAUUGUCUCUCUACCUCCCCUUUUCCCCACCUCUCUCUCUUUCUCUCUCUCUCUCACACUUUUUCUCCUUGUUUAUCUCUGUUUCCCUCUAUCACACACAGACACAUCCCUCGCUCCCUCUCUCCCUUCCUCCCUCCUUCCUACUUCUCACUCCAAUUACUUGCAAUGUGCCUGAGAAAAGUGAUGGUGGUCUCCAUAGCAACUCCUGUAUCUGUCUUCACAACAACGUUUGUGUGAAAGGGGGAUUUUUCACCAAGGAAAAGGACAGAGGAGCAUAUGCACACACACACACACAC